rnacentral:misc_RNA from 1 species
AUUGUGGAAACAAAUUGUUUGUUUUGGAUUUGUUAUCCCAGAUAGUUUUCCCUAUGCUUAUAGUAAUUGGUAAAUGCAGUAGUAUUUUACAACCUACAUGUUUACAGUUCAAGCAUUUAAUCAUAAGUUUCUUAAGAUUACACUGGCAGCCAAACACAGUAUACCAAUUUGAGUAGGGAACCAUUAGAUUAGCGUCCAUUGUAAAUUCAAUACAUCAGAACUGUUAAUUUUACUUAAAACCAUGCAAUUAAUGUCCAUCUUAUACUUCUAUUUCUCAGAAGAUGGGAUCUUUUUUUCUUCUCUCUAUUAUUGUGAGUA